AUAAUAGAGAGUCUGGUCUAGUGCGCCCCAUUCUCGUUCUGGUGAACUUACUUGAAAGAACUGAAGUCUAUUUAACAGACUAGGCCUGUGAAUCAAGACUGUCGGAAAAAUAACAAAGAUACUCAGUAGUCGGAGGAGUUUUGGGAAAUCUUAAAGCAAAUGUAUUUUAUAUAGUUCUGUAAAGUUGACAUUAUAAAUACAGUGAUCACAGACUUUUCUGCCUCAAGAUUCCAAUCAAAUCAGGUGUAAAACGCCUUGGCAGCAAAAAGCAUAUGCGAAGCAUGAAAUUAAAGUUAGCACAAUGCAGUUAUUAAAUGUUAAUCAUUGUUAAAUUUCGCAUACAACUUAAAGUCUUUUGGGACACCGCGGCGGUUAGAAUCAUCACGUUGGAAGUUCACCACAGCAAAUAUGGCCAAUAUGACAAGCGAAGCCCCGUAUGCCGGGGGAAAUAUUAGCCAUAACUGAUUUACUUGUGUUUGUUGUUGUUUGUUCUCGGUGCCUUGCGGUGUUUCUUAUUUACUGCAUUUCACUACAAGGCCUAAUUUCUUUGCAAUGAGAGGCACUGCCUGAAAUAUCAGAGACUUUCCAAAGCCAGUUGGCAAUAUGGCGAAGGUGUCUCUUCUCUCUACAAACAAGGCUUUCAAUGCUGUUCUGUGUUCAGUCCCACAACAUUCUCUCGAAUUAUUGUCAUUUUGACACAUCUCAUGCUGUUUUUAGACCCAUAUUAUACAAAACGCGAAUCUGGGGAUAUACGUAUCUGGGGAUGGAAAAAUAUUGGCAAUGGUAUCCCUGUGGUCGUUUGGUAUCCCUGUGGCCGCGAAUCUGGGGAUGAAAAAUACUGCCUAGGCCAACAAGCAACAUUGGAAACAAAGUGGUAGAAAAGUGACAUUUAUCUAGUAGAAUUUGACGGAGAACCGCAUAUUGCUGCAUAUUCUCUCGAAUUAUUGUCAUUUUGACACCUCUCAUGCUGUUAUUAGACAUAUAUUAUACAAAACGCGAAUCUGGGGAUGAAUCUGGGGAUGGAAAAUACGCAUGCCUAGGCCCGCUAAAAACAUCAAGAAUAAAUUGGCAAGAAAAAAUUUUUAUCGAGUAGAAAUAGAAAGGAAACUCUGGAAAUAACAUAUUUUCUUGCUAAUCAUUGUCAUUUCGAUACAUUUCGAGCAGUACAAGCAAGUUUUCGAAUCUGGGGAUGAAUCUGGGGAUGAAUCUGGGGAUGAAUCUGGGGAUGAAUCUGGGGAUGAAUCUGGGGAUGAAUCUGGGGAUGAAUCUGGUGCUGAAUGGUACGCGGUGAAAUAUUCUUUGAGUCCAGUUUUAACAGCAUCUUCAAACUCAAUCGUUACGGUCGCUAGCAUUUAUUUAUGUUCUGUUCUGUUCAAUGUUUUACACCAGAGCUAAGUUUAUUGUUUCGCUGUGACCUUUGAACGUACAGAAAUCUGUACACUCGCUCCUGAUUGGUUAAUAUCAGCACACCAGAACGAGAAUGGGGCGCACUAGACCAGACUCUCUAUUUUAUUUCAUAUAUAGUGAGUCUGGUACCCAGGGUACGUUAUUAGCAGAGCGAAAGCUGUUAUGCAAUUAGUUUUGUGUUUUAUUGCCCGCAACUCGCGCGCGAUAGCGCGCGAGUGAAGGGCUUAUAGUCUGCCCCGCGUAUAAGUAGCAUAUGGAAGCUUCAGUUCAUGUUGUCAGCACUUUUUCAGCAGAUUUUGUCACUUUUCUGCUGCCAUGACAACUGUCAAUCAAUUUCAUUGUCAAUCAAUCGGCUUUGUCGGGGAGGUCGUUAACCGCCACCUCUUUGUGCGGAAGGGAAUUAUCUUCGGAGCGUUGCUCUGCCAAGCCUCUGUUAAAGGCCUUCGGUUUUUUUGGCACGAAAACGGUGCUGCAUCACAGCUCUGUUCUCCGCAAUGGAUGGAAGUUUUGUUUCGAAGUUUUGGGAAUCAAAACCAGUCGAAUGCCACACUUUUCUCCCAAAAACUCGAGACCGUACGAGCAAAAGUUAUGAUUUUCGUGAUUAUCGAAAAAUAAAUGUCAAACCCUCGAAAAACUUCAUGAUUUUCAAAAGGGCGUUGGACUUAAAUCAAAGGCAAACUGAACACCAAAAAUUCUUGAUAAAAAGAAUAGUUUAGCAUCAACUAGAGCAGCUGUUUUUAUAGAAUUGUGAAAACCCAAGAUGGUGUCUUCUUCGAAUAUCCUGACCUACAUUUUCAAAACAAUCAUUAUCAAGGAACUAAUUGUUUGCGGGCAGUACUAGCAAGAGCUAUUUCUAGUUUAGUUUUAUGAUAUUCAGUUGCCUGUUCUUUUGGUGUUCUUGAUAGUUCCGUUGUUUGUCACCUUGCCAUCAACAUUCCGUGUUAUUGCAUCAUCCCAUCGCCACUAAUGUUGUCAUCGGUCCUUUUGUUUGUUUGAAGUAAUUAUUUUGUUAUCGUAAUUAGGGUGUGUUGUCAUGUGAUUUUUAUGCUGUGCGUUGCUUGUGAAUUCAGUCGUUACGUAAAGCCGUCAAGUAAAGUCGUUUUGAAUCCGUGCCGUUUUGCGAUGUUGCCGUUACGUGGAAUCGUUGUUUAGUAAAAUUGAACUUAUUAUCGCCGCCGUUGCUUUUUGGAUGUUUAAUUACCGAACUGUUGAUUUUUCUAUAUAAAAACUGCUACUACUAAUUGAAUUGCUGUACUUUAUGCGAAGAAGAACUUCUGUGAAACUUAGUAGUUUUACAAAGCAUUCCUUACCGAAAAUCAUAGCCAAUGGAUGCAGUGAUUGAUGCAUAAGUUUAUGAGGGCAAGGUUGAGUCCACACAAAUUAAGUCAAGUUGUAAAUUAUUUUCAUGACAGGUACGGCACCACUGGGGGGAAUAGAGGGCUGAAGGCCCCCACUUUGGUCAAGAUAAGAAUUUUUUAUCCUUUUUUCUAUAACUUUUUAACAGAGUGUUAAAUAAAAAGAGAAUAAACUGUUAAGAUGCUGAUUUUGUUUGAUCUAAUUGCUAACUUAUUCAUGUAUUUCUAUUUUUUUUAUUUGUAUUAAUUAUGUAAAUCAUUUUCUGUAUUAUUGCAAUGUUUUUAUUUUGGAAGUGUAAACAUGGCCUUUUCGAGAUAAGAAACUGCACAUUCUGUUUAGGAAAUGAAAUUCUCCCAAUCAAAACAACAUUGCUGUCAUUCACAACUAUGUGCUAUCUGAAGCGAAAGGUUACCGUUUCUUUCCUUCCCCAACAUCUAUCGCUAGCGUUUUAGCAUGACAUCCCCCUCCCAAUUUUUCAAACAAACAAUUAUCAGUUUUUUAGCAGUAUAGUAUUUUGCUAAAUUUUAGUCUGGGAGAUGCUUUUUAGACCUUUUACAAGGUAUAAUUUCAAAAAAUUUUCUUCACGUCGGACCCAACCAUGGUGGGUCCUCCUACCUCACUAAACUUGAUAUGCCAUGAAAUACAAGCUUUACUACAAAGGAAAAUCAAAUUUGACAUUUAAUUCACGCUCACGUAAAAAAUGAUAUUUCAUAGGCAAUGAAGUUUCAAGUUUUUUUUAUUGCUUAGAAGUUUGUUCUUGGUAAAGACUAAUUUGCACUGGUAAAGCUUUCACUAGUAACCUAUAGACAAACCUUUGCUACGAGGUCUGCAGGGCACCACUCAUUUUCGCAGGGCAGAAAUCCUUUUCACCCCCCCCCCCAAACCUUUUGGUCAAGUUACGCCCCUGUCCGCGGUGCCUGCAUAAAUACUUUGGGUUCAACCAAAGGAUGAAAAUGCUAUAAAACCAAACAAGUUUCCCUAUCAUUCUAAACCAAAAACACCAGGCGGACAAAGGACUCCCAGCAUUGUGCAUACCCUUGUGGAACGGAUACAAGUAAAAUGUAAUCAAGCAGGAAGACAAUAGAGUACCGAAGUGUGACGUCAUCAAAAUUCUAUAUUUAGAAUUUCUUAAAUUUGGCCGCAUAAUCUGAAAGAAUGGCAUAAAAUAACUCUCAUUGUGCAAAAUUGGUUAGAUAUGUUCCAAACUGGGCGAGACAUAACAUUAUCUGUCUUUCCACUGUUUUAUACAAUUUGUCUUUUAGCUUUCUUGGCAUUCUUAUGUCAGUGAUCAUACUGGAUAAUUCCUCCACUUGCUCCAGGCCCCUUUAACUCCAGCCCUGACAGCUGUUUCCGAACCACCUUCCUCGCUUACUGUCAUACCUAUAUAUUUAAACUACUGCCAUACCUAGAUACUCCAGCUAGAUGAGAGUGCUAAAAUCGUCGAAUGAAAAAAUUUCGUCAUAAGGAAGUUCAUGUAAGGGGGCUUCCAUUAAAUUGCUUCAUCUUCCUCAUCCCAUUGUUCGUAAGGACAUGUAAGACAUUGUUCGUAAGGCAAUAAUACCCCCACCUCCCUCCUUUCAACAGCCCUGUGAAGGUACAGGGCUCUAAAAAAUCCAAAAUGAGAAAAAUAAUGCGGUACAAAAAACCAUUGGUAAUCAUGUCCUCGUGUUUCUGAUUGGCCCAUUUCGAUCCACAGCUGAGUAUUUAUAUUUCUACCUUGAGUUUUGCAGCUUUGUUCGACUAAUGUUCUGAAGAGUGGCAGACGAAAAGCUUAAGUAUGUUUCAAAAUGUUUGAAUUUUAUAAAGACAACUGUGUUUUUCUUUGCCUAGAAUAAAAGAUUCAACACGGGACACAAAAACAGUGCGUUUAGGGGUUUCCGAUUGCGUCAGGUCGUAACGGCUUUUUGCUACCGUUGAAGCCUGUGGUUUCGCUAAAUUUAUUUUGAUUCGGUCCCAGACUAUCUUGGAUCCCCUUGAAAGAGGAAGCAUUUACCAGCUUCGAAGAAAGCUGAGACGAACAGUCUUUCAGAACGUAAAUAAUGGGAACAUCACAGUCAAAUACAGCAAGUACGAGAGUAUUUUCAAUCUUACUAAAUUAUGCAUUAUUUCUGACUUGCUUUGCGUCUCUCCUGCUGUACACAGUCAUGACAAGAAGAGAAUUGGCAAAUUCGAUCGAUAGAAUCGAAAACAAGAUGUACAAAGAAUACGUGGCCAUUUUCAGAAACACCGAGAAGAGAUUGAGGGAUCUCGAGAAGUGCUGCAAAAACAGCAACCAGGAAAUCGAGGAAACAGAAAACAGCGAGAGAUUUUUUCAGAGAGGAAUAAAAAGACGAAAGAAAAGAAGAGCGAAUCAAGAAGAACAAAUAACAUUAUUUAAGCUGAUAACGAGGCUACCAAACGGAAGCUUGAUACUUCCGACUUGUCUCCGAGGACCAAUAGGGCUACCAGGUCCCACAGGACCACAAGGCCCAAUGGGGCUACCAGGCCCCUCAGGACCAUCUGGGCACAAAGGAAGACGUGGAAAGGCUGGGCCGAUGGGUUUCAAUGGCAGCAAGGGGGACUCUGGAAUGACUGGACUAAAGGGUGCUAAAGGUGAAAAGGGAAACAGAGGCUCACAAGGACGCGAUGGAGGACGAGGGCCACAAGGAAUCAAGGGAAACAAGGGAGAGUCGAUAGCUGUACCCAAAAUUACAACUCCGCCGAAAAAUCAGACGGUAAUAGCAGGCAAUAUAGCGACAUUUACUUGUGAGGCAACGGGUAGUCCGGUACCAGAAAUAAGUCUAAUGCCGGUUGAGAAGAACUUGAUUAAUCGAAGGUACAAAUGGGUAGGGGACGGAAUGUUGAUGAUUGAAAAUGCAAAGAGCACAGAUGAUGGCGAGUUAAUUUGUGUGGCAAAAAGUGUCAUUGGAGAAGACAGCAUGAUUGCUUCAUUGAAAGUGAAUUUUGCACCCAAGACUCGGAUAAUAAUGCCGCAGAUUGAGAUAGAAGAAGGGGAAAAAAGUGUUAUCAGGUGUAAUGUUGUUGGAAAUCCCUGGCCAGCAAUUACAUGGAGUCGAAAGUCGGGAAAGAUUUCUAAUAAUGCAAUUUUCAGAGACAAAAUGCAAACGAUUGAGAUAGAGAAAACUAAGAUGGAGGACAGUGGGGAAUAUGUGUGCAAUGCAGUAAACAGAUUCGCAAACUCUAAUGCCACGGCAAACCUACACGUUGCAAGGAAACUUUCCUUCGUUGUAAAGCCACCAAAUUUUAGAUUUGUUUUACUUAGGCAAAAUGCACAGCUUUCUUGUGUUUAUGAAGGUGGAGUACAGCCAACUUCGGUCACUUGGAGAAAAAAUGGAAAUCUGGUGACGAACAAAACACUUCUUUCCAAAAAUAACCAGGUCAUGACGAUUAAGUGGGGCGCAAAAGCUGAUGAGAAUUAUCAGUGCAUAAUCAGGUCGAGGACUUCCACAUUAAAACAUAGUACAAGAGUGCGUUAUGAACGGCCGCCAAGAACAUGUAAAGAGUUGAAACAGAGCGGUCAAACUGCAUCAGGCAAUUAUAGCAUCUACGUAAUGCGAACUUUCAAUAAACCUGUGCGCGUUUUCUGUGAUAUGAGCAGUCACAAUGGCGUUGGAGUGACCGUCGUAUCACACGACAGUGAAGUCAGGACACACGUGAAUGGCAUUGAAGCAAAACUCGGAUAUAUUCGAAAGAUCAAAUAUGAAAUUUCAAGUGAUCUGAUUAAACAAAUAGUGAGAUUGUCGGACAAAUGUGAGCAAUACAUUAAAUACGAAUGCAAAUACACCGGCCUUUUUUUGCACGAUGACUCCCCCAAUGGGGCAUGGUAUUCAGCUACAGGAGCAAGGAAGAGUUACUGGGGAGGUGUGGAACAUACAGCAAAGGGAUGUGCCUGCAAACUGACGAAUUCAUGUCAUAAUGGGAAAUGGUGCAACUGUGAUGCGCACAGCCGUGAAUGGAGAGAAGACUCUGGGUAUUUGCGAUAUAAAGAAGAUCUGCCAGUAUCGGAAGUGAGGUUUGGUGAUACCGGUGGCAGUGGGGAGGAGGCAUACUUUACGGUGGGAAAACUGAAAUGUUACUAAGACCAUCUCUUGAUGGAAACCUUUCAGAACAAUUCAUCGUAAAUUUAUGCAGUAUUGUAGUAGAGUGUACCAUGUCCCAGGUCUGUAAAUUCAUAUUUUGGUUCACGAGAUAAAUGUUUUGGCAUUUGAGGAAAGCAAUGAAAGAAAAAUAAGAAAUGCAUUGUGUUUAGAAUACAAUAAAUCAUCCUGAUUUAACCACGAAGCUUUCAAAUAAAUUUCAAGUCAUCAGAUGGAGCAGAAGAAUUAGCGGUUACGCUUGCUUUUGUAUUUUUUGCAACAUACAAACUAUUUGAAUAUUAACACAAGCAUUAAGCCCUGGUCAAGCAAUCCAACAUUUUGCCCGUCAUUUCACCCACCAUUUCCACGCGCAGAUCGAAAAAGGACUGGGUAGAAGUUCUCGCUGAAGGCUGCACAGUUUCGCGACAUUUCGAUCCGAAAAAGCAAAAAACAAUCACUGCCUUUUCUCUUUAUUUUCUCUUCAGAUAUUUUCACUGCCAUCGCGGUCUUUCAGGGUGAGCGUUGCAUCCCCUAUCAAGGCCGUGGCCUAAUUUCGUCCCCCUGUACUUUCUUGCAGCUCAUCCGUGCUACAGCAUCUUCAUUGACGCUUGGUGUCGCUUCUUUCGCGCAGAAUUCGUUAUAUUUCGUUAUAAUGUCCAUAAUUAAAGUGUAACUAGUUGAAAGCAAACGCGAUUGUUGAAACGAACGAAAUCAGCCCGAGAAAACAACAACGAUGCGAUGAUUGAAUUUUGGUGCUCUUUAACCUAUUGCGCGUGUGAGAGGCCAACAAUGUUGGCUGAGGUGGUCAAACGAUCCAACAUUUCACUUAACACUUCAAAACAAUAGAAUUGUUGGAUGUCAGCUGCCAACAUUUUUGACCUCAGUAAAAUUUCAUCCAACAUCAAAAAAGACGAUGUUGGGUGACCCAACAUGGUGGUAAAACGAUCAAACAUUUCGCCCAACAUUCGCCCAACAUCAUGCAACGCAAACUAGCAAGACUCCAAUCAAAGGGGGCUGAGAUAAUUAAUGGGGGGUGGGGUUGAAAAUAAUCGAACAACUGACAAACAGUGGUAGUAGGGCUGGAAUAAACUGGGAGAUUGAAACUGGGUUGUGUAUAAAAAUCGGAAAUGAGGCGAAUCCGGUGCAGUAGAAUUCCAAUAAUAAGAAUUUACCUUUGACAAAGAGACGAAGUUCUUGAAACUCAAAUACCUGAAACUCAAAAUUUUUGCACUAAGUCUAGCACAGGUAAAAUCUAUUUUGUAACAAACGAAAGUUGUAUGUUAAUAAUGCUAAUUUUGCUAUAUCACUCUUAUAAGAGAAACAAGAAGUUAGAAGAAGAUAUUAUUAUCAAUGGGCAUGGGCUUAGCGGAGGCUAAUCUUUUAGGGGGGUUAGUAUGGGUCUUGUCCGAAUAUUGUUGCUUCAUUGAGAUAAAACUGUCCAAUUGGGCCUGAAAUUCGAUAAAAUUUGCUUGAUUUGGCAGCCCAAGUCCCUAUGUCUGCUAUGCCUAUGUUUUUAGGAGCGCAAAUGGCUGGAAUGCUCUACGCUCUUCGAUAAAGAAAUUAGUGACUUGCAAGGAGAAUACCUCAGAUGAAUUCUAGAUACUUUUCACUUUCCUCGAUUUUAAUUUUUGAACAAUAUCCUGUAACUGCUAGCUCUAUUUUUAAUGUGGCCGUAAUUUCAUUGUAGAUAAAUAAAUUUUCUUAUCUUUGGCUGAUUUGUUAUCUUUCAUUUGCUGUCCAGGCUCGAUGUGCUUUUAUUGGAACGAGUAAAAUACUUUAUUAUUUAUUCUAUGAAUAAAUUGAUUGAUUCGUCAAAGCAAUUUAUUUGAGUGAUUGUCUGGAUUGAUUGGCUAGGUGAUUGAUUCAUUGAUUGAUGAGUGAUUUUUGCUCAAAGUGACUGAUUGAUUGCAAUGAUAAAUUGAUUGAAAUGAUUGGAUGCUCUUAUCAUAUGGGCCUUUGGGGAAAUCCAUAUGGGUGUCGUACGAGAUUUGUUUUUGUAAUUCCAUGGUGACGAUUCGGCUUGCUGUUUGUAUCAAUGAAGGCAUUUUGCACCUGCAAUAUGUUACAGAACUACAUCUUAUCAGCUGGCAUUCAUUAUUCAGUGUGGAUACCCGUCGCCCCAUUUAUGUUAAAUGGCACUCAGAAAUAUCACCAUGUUUACCCAUUGACAGAUAAACUGACCAAAUGAUAGUGUUCUGGGAAAGCAUUGCUGAUAUUAGCUGUGUUAAGAUGGACAGUUUGAGGGCAUAUCAAAUCAUAUUGAUUGGCAUCAUCAUUAAGUUGGCAGACGCAAGGAUCCUGCGGAGGAAUUGCGGAGACUAUGCAGAUUUCAGCUACACGGAAAGCAAUAAAGCCCUGGAGGGUCACAUCCUGGAAGCGUUCAUCGGCUUACUACCAAGCCAAUGUGAAGAGGAAUGUAUCAAUAAUAUUUACUGCAAAUCGAUAAACAUUGAGGACGGUGGCACCAAAAAGUGUGAACUUAGCAGUAAAACCAUAACAGAUGUGGCUGACGGAGUGAGCCUCGUCGGUAGAAACGGCUGGAUUUUCAAAUCAACAAGCUACACUGACCCUUUGAUCGGAAACUUAUGCAAGAAGCUGAACCCCUGUGCAGCUGAUGACUUGUGCAUGGACGUUUGCUACAGUCCUGGCUAUGUUUGCCAUUCAUGCAAAGAGCUGUAUUCUGGGAUGGCUUGUAGAAGAGGUCCUUACGUUGAAAAUAUUGCCGGCAGUGGAACAAGCAGUCAAUCCGAUAAUGGAUACACACACCAUCCAGCUCGCCUUGCAAUUGAUGGCAAUCAUCAAACAUUUUCCUACAUCGCGUACUAUCCUGGAUGGUGGAAAUUAGACUUUUUGGACUUCAGAGAGAUUGUCUCCGUAACCAUCACUUGCUUCGACCACAACAGUAAUCAUGUUCUUAAGCUAGGGAAUAGCACAGGCAGUGUAAACAUAAUGGAAACUUUCCCGCUUACCAGUCCAAAUACAAUAACGUCAAUCAAUUUUCAACCGCAUAGAAUCGCCCAAUACAUCUUGAUUAAGAAAAAUCAUUUAAGGUUGGUUAUUCGUGAGGUUGUUGUAAUGGGGUAUAUUCCAAAAUAAUUGCUGCGUGGCAGAAGUAAGGAAGCCAUGGACGUUUGUGCGAGGGAUUGCAGAUCCAAUUAAGAUAAUUCAAUAACAUAAUGCUCCCCAGUGUCGUAGACCACAUUCCCCACCGGCCUCUGCCCUAUUCCUCGCUCCUUGCACACUGCCGCUGCGCUGCAUUUUUUAGGGUCUGGGUGCGAAGCGAAUGGUUUGCAGAAGGCUCGUUGGAUCGUGGUAACAUGGUCACCCUAUAAGGAUUUAAAGAGAAUUGCUUGCUGUUUGUCUAUUUUAUCGCAUAAUCCAAUGAAAUUUCAUCAAAACGUUGUUAUUCUUGUGGAUGUUCGUGCAAAUCUAUCGUUUAAAGUCGUGGCAGGCUAACAUCUGAUCAUUAAAGAAUGCCUAAAAACCAUCAUAAGUGAAGAAAGAACGGCGAAAGAUGAUUGAUUAAUCAAAGGAGGUUUUAGGAAUAACUAAGAUAUCAAAGCUCGCGUCAAACCUUGUGAUCUCUAUACAUAAUGGCCUUGGGGGCAGUAAUAGACCUUGGGGUAUCGUUCCAGUAGGAGUUUAUUUCAGCUUUUUGCAUAAAGUAAAACUUUUGGGUCACAUUUAGUGAAUCUACGGGUUAAAUUUAUUGACCUUAAUAAAUAAAUUUGGCUGUUUAACAUUCUCUUGAAAGAUGUGUCAAAAUUUACUCAUAGCCAGAGACCGCGGAAGCGGGGGGCUAAGGGGGCAAAAAAUUUCCAAAAUGUACUUAAAACUAUACAAGAAGUUGCCUUGCUCUUGGUUUUAGCAUGUCUAGCCCCCCCCCCAAAACGUUACCUGGUCAAUGCUCAUAGCAAAAUUAUUUUAUCAUCAAAUUACAAUGCAGACAGGUUUAGUCGCUUUCAAAGUGUUUGUCUGAAUGAACGCGAAUCGGGCUAAAUGCUAAUAACAAAAAUUUCAACAAAUAAAAGCAUGAAUUUUAGUAAGAGACAGUGACGUAGCCAGGGUUGGAAGGUUGGAAGGGCAAAGAGGAGUCCUACAGCAGAGAGUCCGGGGCCUUACCCUGGGAAAAUACUUGCUGACCACACUCAUAAGAAUUUGGGAAAAUGCCCCAUUUUGUAAAUGCAUUUGAAAAAGCUUUGGCUUUUUACAUGGCAAUAGUUGGUUUAUCAAAUAAAAUGACCGUCAUAUGUAGGUUUUGUGGCUGACGCCAUUCUACAACUGGCUAUUCCUUCAGAAUGUUCACAUUCUGAAUUGCGUAAGGGCGAGGAAGCUGAAUGUGUAAAAGCUGAUUUUCCAGAGUUGUAAGCAAUUAUCACAAAGUAAUAAAAGGUAUUCAAAAAUUCCAAACUAAGGACCGUUUUCCUUGGAGCAAAACCCCCGACAACAGGCACCACGGAGCGUUGGGAAAAGUGGGGGGUCUAAAAAAAGUGGGGGGAGGGGCCAAAACCGUAUAAAAAGAGGCUUUUUUGGUAGUUUGAUACUUAAUAUUUGUCAUUUUUUGCAAAAAGUGGAGGGGGGGGGGCUAAAGCUCCCCCGGUGCUUGGACAAGCAUUUCAGAAUCCAGUUUUUUGAGGAAGCGCUUUAUCGGGAAUGUCGAAAUAACGUGUAGGAUUUUUCUAUGUAAUCCUAGAACGAGAGAAUGUUAUAAUACAUCCUGUAGAGGUACAGACGAGAGUCCCCCGCGGACGAAGCGAGCAGAAAAUUUAUCCGACCACGCCCUUUAGAUUAGCUCAAAAAUUCAGAAUAUUUCUUACAGUCGUUUGCUUGCAGUGUUUUAAUUUAAAAGCGUUUUAAUUAUGUCUGAGAUAUCAACUCCCCCCCCCCCGAGUUACCGAUUUUAUUGCAGAUUUGCACUUUUCUCAGACAUCAACUUGCUGAGAAGCAUUAGGGGUGGUCGCCCCCCCCCAGGCCCCUCGCUACGCUACUGAGAGAAAUUUAGCUGGAAACUUGUAAAAUAUAUUUAUUGCACUGUUAUUUAAAAUUUUAGCAGCAGAAAUAAUAUUGUGAACUUGUUUCAUGUGGUUUUAAUUUUCUUUGUGCUUUGUUAUUCUUUUUGAAACCGUUUCUUCAGUCGAUGCACCUCUCCAAAGCCCACUUUUAGACCCACUUUUGGCAAGGACUACAAGAUGUUCCAGAAAAGCUCCUCGUCAAUGAUCUAAGUUAUUUCGAAUAUAAAGGGACAGGCAAUCCUGUAAUCUUGAAUCGCCCCCAAACAUGGAAGCCAAACAGAGGUUUCCCAGGGUUUUUUUAACGUGCAGUUCUACACAAAAUGUGCAGCUCUAAAAGCUUUUUGUGCAGUUCAAAAAUUUUACUUUAAUGAACACAAAAAUCCGGAAAACUAUUGCAGCAAAAAACAAACAAAAGUUCAAAUGAUGAAACACAAAAAAGAUAAUUAAGAUGGCGCUCAAAUCAAGCAAAGACCUAUUGGAAAAUGAAAGAUAUAAAAAGACUUUCAGUGGAGAGGAAAUGUAAUUAUUGCGAAACUUCAUAGUCGCUUUAUCGUUUUUGAGUCACACAUACACAAAGCUUGAAAUUGAUAGUAUCAAAGCAGAAGCUUGUUUGAACUCUCAAAUCAGAGAAAAUUGAAAAUUCAGAGCAGAAAGAAAAUUAUAUCACCAGUUUUGAAUAUAAAUUUUACAGUUGUAUGGUCAAACUAUACUGACCGACAACUGAAUUGGAGAAAAUUUAACAUUUACUUCUCAAGCUGCUGUGCAAUUGCUAUUUAUACCUUGCUUCAUCGUCAUCAGUUUCAUCCGUCUUAUUGACAUAGCUCGAUAAAAAGAAGAUAUUAAAGUUUUUAAAACAUUAUAUACUACAUCCCUAUUAAAUGUUGUUCCACGAACACAAUUUUGUUUUUCAAGAUUCUUUACAGUUGACUUUGGUUUCUUGUAAUUCUAUAUAACCAAGAACUCACAAUGGUUGUCAUAUGAUCGAAAAUUUGGUUUUAAUGUACUUCAUGUACUUUAUAAUUUUAAUGUACUUUAUAAUUUUGCGUCCAAGUUGUGUUAGAAUCUACUUUCUUUUUCUGCAAAUUGAUAUUACAUUAUUAAUGAAUUUCGAAAAAUUUUCUUUAAAAUAGAGUGUUAUAUAUAUGUCUAAAUUAAAUUAUCGACGAGCAUGUCAAUUGAACAUGCUUAUUAACAAUGUCUAAACCUCUA